AUGUACCUCGCGUACAUGCCAGUUUUGAGUGCGCCGUCCACGCCCAGACGCCCCGUGCUCGCGACGUUUUGUCAGCC
rnacentral:sRNA from 1 species